CCAUGUUUUCUAAAAGGCCUAGAGAAUGUAUACCGGUGCCUCUCCUCUUCCCCCUUUGUGUUCAUCAUUGUGGCAAAUUACUGGAAGGUGGCAGUUUUGGCCGAAAGGAAGGACUGCUUCCUUAACUUUCCUAACUCAUAUGUGUCUUGUGUUUGUUUCUGUUGUGGAUUCUUAGUCACAUGGCCUUGUUCUGUAUGGUCUGCAUUUUCAGGAAAAGCAUCCCAGCCUAAGUGGCCCUUGUACCCGUGAAGAAAUAGGCAGUGUCACUUUUACUUUGUGUUCUCCUUUCCUCCACCAUUUCCUCCUAGUGUGUCCUUGUUUUCAGAAACACUAGACUGAUUUUUAAAAAUAAUAUUGUAUACUCCGCCUCAUUGCAAGAAGACUCAAUCUGGCUUCUUCGCUCCAUUCUUUUUUUUUUUUUUUUUUUUUGAGACAGAGUUCACUUUCUCGCCCAGGCUGGAGUGAAGUGGCGCAAUCUUGGCUCACUGCGACCUCCGCCCCACAAGUUCAAGUGAUUCUCCUGCCUCAACCUCCCGGGUAGCUGUGAUUAUAGGUGCCCACCACCACGCCUGGCUAAUUUUUGUAUUCUUAAUAGAGACGGAGUUUCUCCAUGUUGGCCAGGCUGGUCUCGAACUCCUGACCUCAGGUGAUCCACCUGCCUCAGCCUCCCAAAGUGCUGGGAUUACAGGUAUGAGCCACUGCCCCUGGCCUCUUCCUUCCAUUCUAUCUGUUCUUUUUAUUAUUGCAGUACAAAGAAGUAAAAUGAUAUCUCCCUCUCAUCUUCUGCUCCUCACAGUCAGCCAUGCCCCCACAACCUUGUCAUCACUAGGAAAAGGAGUGUAGGAGGGCUCUCUUCACCCCCGACAUUCACUUUUCAGAGCUGUGUGUUAUUUUUAAGGAUGCAUCAUGGCUUUGUGGGAAAGCCUUAGUGUGUGUGUGUGUAUGUGUGUGUGUGUAUGUAUGUGUGUGUGUGUGUGUGUGUGUGUAAUUCCAGUCAAAGGUAAGAGUGUUUAAAGCUUUUCUGUGUUGUGCUAAGCCCUUCUCCCUGAGUCUUCUCUCUUAGAUACAGUGUGAUUCAUCUAACUCCAGUGACUAAUGGCCAUGCCAAGUACAGGGUGUUGGUCUCUGUUCUUUGGUCUCUCUCUCAGUGACUGAAGAGUGGACAAGGCACACAAAAGAGAGCUCUAAAGGCAGUCAAUCAAUACUGCAGACUGACUGACAAUGGCAGUAUUAAGUGCCAUAGUGGUUGGGUUUACUGGAAUGAGUGCAAAAUAAGGACCAGAGCUGGCCAAAUUAGCUUUACAUAAUAACACUAGGCAAUUGGUAUUGGAAGAGAUGGCUAAAGCCCAGGCCACAGGAUAAGCAGGUCCCUUCCAGCUUUGACUAUAGUUUUGGUGUUUGUUUUUUUGUUUUGUUUUGUUUUUGUUUUUUUGUGAGACAGGGUCUCUAUCUCCCAGGCUGGAGUGCAGUGGUAUGAUCCUGGCUCACUGCAGCCUUGACUUCCUGGGCUCAAGCAAUCCUCCCACUCAGCAUCCCAAAUAGCUGGGACUACAAGCAGGCCACCACGGCUGGCUAAUUUUUGUAUUUUCUGUAGAGACAGGGUUUUGUCAUGUUUUCCAGGCUGGUCUCGAACUCCUGAGCUCAAGUGAUUUGCCUGCCUCAGCCUCCCAAAGUGCUGAGAUUACAGGUGUGAGCCACCGUGCUCAGCCUUCACCUUUAACUAUCUGUAGUUAUUUAGCAAGUAGGACUUGGUCUGCAGCACAGCGGUAAUUCCACUACUCUUUAACUAAAGUAAGAAGUAACAAUGACACUCAGAAUUAUUUUUAAUUUACUUUUGGUAUAUUCUAAUUCAUUAAUGAGCAAACAACUGAAAAAAGAAGAAAAACAUGUUAAUCUUCCAUCGUUAUUGGAAAAAAACAGCUUUGUUGUAACUAAAAUUUCAUGUAUUAUUAAUUUGAGACAAGGUCUCACUUUGUCACUGAGGCUGGAGUGCAUGGAGUGCAGUGGUGUGAUCAUGGCUCACUGCAGCCUCAAACUCUUGGGUUCAAGCAAUCCUCCCGCUUCAGCCUCUAAAAUAACUAGAACUACAGGUAUGCACCGCCAUGCCAGGCUAAUUUUUUAAAUUAUUUUUUGUAGAGACAGGGUCUUCCUAUGUUGCCCAGGCUGGUCUCAAACUCCUGGCCUCAAAUGAUCCUCCCACGUCAGCCUUCCAACAUGCUGGAAUUAUACUCAGCCUCAUGACUAAUUGUUAAUGUCUGUUUUUUUUCUUUCUUUCUCUAGAAUGACCCAACCCAUUUGACAAAAACAUUGUUUUGAAUGCAUAGUCAAAUUCCAAAUCAUAUCAACAUCGUUUACAGAUAACAAUCAAGUGGGUAGGCCAAAUCCAAAUAACCAAUUUUUAAAGUUUUUCUAGUAUGCCUUGGUACCAUGUAUUUUGUAUCUUAACAAUAUUGACCUCUACAGGUACGGAAGCAGAGACCUAGUAAAAAUUAAUGGCAAAAGUCAGUGUGUUAACAGAUUAGAUUGCGGCAACCCUUAAUCAUGAACUGCUAAACUUUAGACCAUGAGCUACCUGUUUCCUAAGAUCAUUUUAGUGUACAGAAGAAUUUCCAUAUUUGAAAACAAAUUUUGAAAAUGGGGGAAAAAGUGAGGUAAACGAGGGUAUUAAUCAUACUCUGCUUUCCAUGUUCUAAUGCUUAGUAAAUUUACUUGGCACACACACAUUCUUACAUUAGGAAAUACAUUUAAGUGAGUCUAAGUUUCAUCGUUUCACUCACUGAAAAAAAAAAAUCUACUUUAUACAAUUUGGAGAAAGGAAAAGAUUAUUCUGUAGUUGGAAAGGCAAGUAUUAUACUCUUAGGCUACCCUCUUAACUCUGCUUUGGACAAACACAAUAAAGGAUAAAAAUGUUUAUGCUGCUUUUCUUCCCUGUGUUUUCCCCAUAGGACAGUCUGUAUGUGGUCUAAAAUCAUGACUUUCCUCAGGUUAAAGUCGUGGGGUUAAAACCCUUUUAUAUUAAAACAAGUAUGAUUAUAAAAUGUACUUAUUGAACAAACAUUUAUGGUGCAUUUAUCAUGUGUCAGGCAAUAUUCUUGAUUCUGGAAAUAUACUGGUGAAAGUUAAGGUGGCCAGACACGGCACCCAAUUUCAUGGAGCUGGUAUUCUAACAGAGAAUGACAAAAAUAUGAAUAAGAAAUUCAGAUAGUGAAAAGUGUAAUGAAGAAAAUAUACAAUGUCACAGUGACAGCGCAGAAGAGCUCAUUCAGACUGGCAGGUUGGGAAAAGUUUCACUGAAGAAGGGACAUUUGAGCUGAGACCUGAAAUCCUAAGAGGAGGGGGUCAUUCUAGGCAGAGACAACAAUGAAUAAACAACCCCACGGGAAAACUAACUUUGCCUUUCUGAGUAACCGAAAAAGACAAUGCAGUCAGACUGGAGUGGGUGGAACACUGAUGAUAAGAAAUGAUGUCAAAAGGCAGGCAAUGGCCAGACUGUGUAGAACACUGGAAGAACAGCUAAAGAGGCAAUUGCAAUUCAGGUAAGAACUGAUAGAAGAUAAUGGAAACUUAGAAAAAAGGAAAAGCGAUGGAUAUGAAGGAAAAAUUAAUGUACUGCAGGUGUAUUUUUGAAGUAGAUUAUGAGAUUAUGGGAAAUGGAGGAGAAAUGACAGCUCCUGGGUUUUUGUCUGAGUGAAAUAUAUGAGUGAGAGGAGAAGGACCAUAUAGUGAGAUGAGGAAGAAUGAAAAAAAGAACCAAUUUCACAGGGAGAAAGUCAAGAGUACUGUUUUAGCCAUUUUAAGUAUGAAACACCUUUUUAUUAUUCAAGUAGCGAAUGGUCAAGUGGGCGUUUAGGUAUCUAAAGUUAUAGCUCAGUGGAAAGGUCAGAACUGGCAAUAUAAAUCUGUACAUAAGAUGGUAUCUAAACCAUGCAAUUAGAUGAGAUCAGUAGAAAAACAGAAAAGUCUUGGGCCUGAGCCUGGAGCACACCAACACUUAAGGCUUAAGAGGAAGACCUACAGCCAAUGGAUAGAGCAAGAAGCAAGAAACUGGGAGAGCAUGCUGUUAAAGAAGCCAAGAAAAGACAGAUAGUGCAUGAAGAGGACUUAAUAAAUGCGGCAGGAGUUAAGAGAGAGAUGACUGAUUUGGCAAAGUGGAGGUGUUUGUAAUCUUGACAAGAGCAGUUUCAGGGAAUGGUGGGAUCCAAAACCUAGUUUUAGGGUCCAUAGAGGUAAGCUGGAAAUGUGAGGAAAUUUUUGAGCAGGUUUCUGUGAAGGUGUGAGAGAAGUGGCAAAAGAAGAUGUGAGGUCAAGGGAAGGUGUCGUUUUGUUUACAAAUGGGAGGCAGAAGAAAAUGUUUGUAUGCUGAUGGAAUGGUCCAGUAGUCAGAGGCUGGUGUUGGAAAAAGUUGAAGAGGGAAGUUAUGACACAGUAAUUUUGGAGAGUAAGAGAACAAACAUGUUUGUGAAGCACAGUAAGAUCUUUGGGUAGUACCUAUUUGAAAUUUGUGGUAAUGGAUUUAAAAUGAAAUUAGUCAGCAUUGGCUUCAGAUUUUUCUCCAGCCCCAUUCAGCUGUUAGGUGUAAGCGCAGAGUAAAGAGAUGGAGCAGUGCUUAAAACAAGUUGGGACUCGCAGGUAGGAGACUAUGACAGAGAGUAGACGAAGUUGAUACGAUUACAGAAAAGCAAUUGCUAAUGAUAGGCUAUGAUAAAUUCCCAAGAUAUGUGUUUAUUAAAUGUUUGAUGAAUGACACAGACCUGGAAUCAGACUUUACCCAUUCCUAGAAGGGUAAGUCGCUGAACUUAAGUCAAUAAUUCCUUUACAGAAUUUCUGAGAGGACUUAAUUAUAAUUUUUGUAUAGUGCCUAAAAUAGGACCUGGCAUUGAACAGUCACUCAAUACAUGUUAGUUUUCAACUCCACUUUCCAAGUACAAUUUCUCUUCCUCGUUCAGUUACUCAACAAUCAUUUCUUCAAAACAGUCUGUGCCAGGCACAUACUGGGCGCUAAGAUAUAAUAGCAAGGCUGAUAAGAACCUGCUUUCAUGGUAUAGCAGGAGAAACAGAUAUUUUACAAAUAACUAAACUUAAUAUUUAUGUUCAGUUGUGAUAAACACUGUGAAGACUGACCUAGGGAGAUGUUGAAAACAGAUUUUUAAAACUUUUAAACUUUUGUAAAAAUGUUCAAAGAGAAUCUGUUGUUAGAAGUUUAACAUUCUGAUUUAACUGUUUUGAAUACGAAAAAUACAAACUCAAAGUAAACAUCUAAAAUAUAAGGCAAAUCUAUCCAUAUAGAAAAGGAAUAAGAAGGUACUGACCAAUGAAGUUGAAACAACACUGUCAUAUUAAUCUCAAAAAUGGA
rnacentral:lncRNA from 10 species